rnacentral:rRNA from 1 species
UACGUAGGGUGCAAGCGUUAAUCGGAAUUACUGGGCGUAAAGCGUGCGCAGGCGGUUUUGUAAGUCUGUCGUGAAAGCCCCGGGCUCAACCUGGGAAUUGCGAUGGAGACUGCAAGGCUUGAAUCUGGCAGAGGGGGGGUAGAAUUCCACGUGUAGCAGUGAAAUGCGUAGAGAUGUGGAGGAACACCGAUGGCGAAGGCAGCCCCCCUGGGCCAACACUGACGCUCAGGCACGAAAGCGUGGGGAGCAAACAGG